rnacentral:tRNA from 3 species
GAAGUUUGAGGUUCAAGAAAAAGCUGCUAACUUUUUUCUUUAGCGGUUAAACUCCGUUUAUACUUCU